rnacentral:rRNA from 1 species
GAACAUCAGUAGGGAAGUCGGAGAUGCUCUGUGGCGAGAAAAGCUGUGUGUAUUGAUUAGGCGCCCGUACCGCAAACCGACACAGGUAGAUGAGGAGAGAAUCCUAAGGCCAACGGGAGGAGGGUUGUUAAGGAACUCGGCAAAUUGACCCCGUAACUUCGGGAUAAGGGGAGCCUCCUACGGGAGGCCGCAGUGAAUAGGCCCAAGCAACUGUUUACCAAAAACACAGGUCUCUGCUAAAUCGAAAGAUGAUGUAUAGGGGCUGACGCCUGCCCGGUGCCGGAAGGUUAAGAGGAGAGCUUAGCGCAAGCGAAGGUUCGAAUUGAAGCCCCGGUAAACGGCGGCCGUAACCAUAACGGUCCUAAGGUAGCGGAAUUCCUUGUCAGGUAAGUUCUGACCCGCACGAAUGGCGUAAUGAUUUGGGCACUGUCUCAAUAGCCCGCCCGGCGAAAUUGUAGUACUGGUGAAGAUGCCAGUUACCCGCAACUAGACGGAAAGACCCCAUGGAGCUUUACUGUAGCCUAAUACUGAAGAUCGGUAAUGCAUGUACAGGAUAGGUGGGAGCCAGCGAAACCCGGGCGUCAGCUCGGAUGGAGGCAACCUUGGAAUACCACCCUUGUAUUGCUGGUCUUCUAACCUGCGGCCAUGAAUCUGGUCGGGGGACACUGUUAGGUGGGCAGUUUGACUGGGGCGGUCGCCUCCAAAAGCGUAACGGAGGCGCUCAAAGGUUGGCUCAGCACGGACGGAAAUCGUGCAUAGAGUGCAAACGCAUAAGCCAACUUGACUGCGAGACCGACGGGUCGAGCAGGUACGAAAGUAGGAGUUAGUGAUCCGGUGGUAUGUGAGUGGAAAUGCCAUCGCUCAACGGAUAAAAGCUACCCUGGGGAUAACAGGCUGAUCUCCCCCAAGCGUCCACAGCGACGGGGAGGUUUGGCACCUCGAUGUCGGCUCGUCACAUCCUGGGGCUGUAUUCGGUCCCAAGGGUUCGGCUGUUCGCCGAUUAAAGUGGCACGCGAGCUGGGUUCAGAACGUCGUGAGACAGUUCGGUCCCUAUCUGUUGCGGGCGCAGGAGAUUCGAAGGGAGCUGUCCUUAGUACGAGAGGACCGGGAUGGACAGACCUCUGGUGCACCAGUUGUCGUGCCAACGGCACAGCUGGGUAGCUACGUCUGGACGAGAUAAACGCUGAAAGCAUCUAAGUGUGAAACUCCCCCUAAGAUAAGAUCUCCCAUCCAUUAGGAGUAAGGGACGACAGAGACUAUGUCGUUGAUAGGUCGGAAGUGUAAGUGCAGUAAUGCAUUGAGCUGACCGAUACUAAUAACCCGAGGGCUUGACU